rnacentral:rRNA from 1 species
UUGUCUCAAAGAUUAAGCCAUGCAUGUCUCAGUACAAACUAAAUUAAAGUGAAACCGCGAAAGGCUCAUUAAAUCAGUUAUGGUUCCUUAGAACGUACCCACAUUUACUUGGAUAACUGUGGUAAUUCUAGAGCUAAUACAUGCUAACAGAGUUCCAACCGGAGACGGAAGGAGCGCUUUUAUUAGAUCAAAACCAAUCGGUGGCGGCUUGCCGUCAUCGUUCAACUUGGUGACUCUGAAUAACUUUUUGCUGAUCGCACGGUCUUGCACCGGCGACACAUCUUUCAAAUGUCUGCCUUAUCAACUGUCGAUGGUAGGUUCUGCGCCUACCAUGGUUGUAACGGGUAACGGGGAAUCAGGGUUCGAUUCCGGAGAGGGAGCCUGAGAAACGGCUACCACAUCCAAGGAAGGCAGCAGGCGCGCAAAUUACCCACUCCCGGCACGGGGAGGUAGUGACGAAAAAUAACGAUACGGGACUCAUCCGAGGCCCCGUAAUCGGAAUGAGUACACUCUAAACCCUUUAACAAGGAUCAAUUGGAGGGCAAGUCUGGUGCCAGCAGCCGCGGUAACUCCAGCUCCAAUAGCGUAUAUUAAAGUUGUUGCGGUUAAAAAGCUCGUAGUCGAAUCUGUGUUUUGUGCCGCCGGUUCAUCGUUCGCGGUGUUAACUGGCGUGUCGCGGAACGUCCUGCCGGUGGGCUUAGCUCGCGAGGGCGGCCCAACUCAAUCCCGCCGCGGUGCUCUUCACUGAGUGUCGAGGUGGGCCGGCACGUUUACUUUGAACAAAUUAGAGUGCUUAAAGCAGGCUAAAAUUUUGCCUGAAUACUGUGUGCAUGGAAUAAUGGAAUAGGACCUCGGUUCUAUUUUGUUGGUUUUCGGAACCCCGAGGUAAUGAUUAAUAGGAACGGAUGGGGGCAUUCGUAUUGCGACGUUAGAGGUGAAAUUCUUGGAUC